GCUUUGGGUCACAUUUGCUGUUGUGACUCCCUUUUUAAUGCAGCCCCCACCUGCUUGUUAUUAGCUGAUGCCUGUUUUUGUGUCAUUUAGAUCUGCAGUGUUCAAAGAUCUCUACGACAAAACCUCGGCUCAUUCCCAGAGAGCUCUCUAUUCCUGGAUGACUGGAAUAUUGCAGACAUCCUCCAAUGCCACUGAUGACUCUGCUUCAUGGGUCAGUGCGGAACACUUAUGGGUUUUGGGCAGAUACAUGGUUCACCUAUCGUUUGAAGAAAUUACAAAAAUUAGUCCUAUAGAAGUAAGUUGGAAAAGUACAUUUAUAUGUCACCAUUACUAAUACACUUGGGGUAAGGUGUAUUCUCAAACUCUAAUGUUCAUCCAGCCAGUCAAGGUGCCUUGGAAAUUGUAUACCCUCCUCAGCCCAAUAGACCUUGGGCCUCUGAAGAAAACUAUUGGAAGAAAGUUUCAAGUGGGCAGUCAUGGGAUUGUUUCAGUGUGGAAGGGCUAAGAAAAGAAAAAGAAUUGUGGACAACUAAGAUCACAUCUCUGAUGUGAGCAAACAUGAUUUAAAGGGAUUGUUGGCUAUGAACCAAAAAUCAUUUAAGGGUAUUUUUGUACUGGAGAAGGCCAAGGACAAAAGAUAUAAAGUUUCCCAUCCUUGGGAGCAUGAACUCAAAGCAAAAGCAAAA
rnacentral:lncRNA from 1 species